GUUGUAUGGUUAAGUGACUAAGCGUACACGGUGGAUGCCUUGGCAGUCAGAGGCGAUGAAGGACGUAUUAACUUGCGAUAAGCCCAGAUUAGGCAGUAAAAGCCACUUGAGUCUGGGAUUUCCGAAUGGGGAAACCCACUUGCAUAAGCAAGUAUCAUUAACUGAAUACAUAGGUUAAUGAAGCGAACCGGGGGAACUGAAACAUCUAAGUACCCCGAGGAAGAGAAAUCAACCGAGAUUCCGGUAGUAGCGGCGAGCGAAACCGGAUUAGCCCUUAAGCUAGUUCUGCGUUAGGUGAA
rnacentral:rRNA from 1 species